GUAAAACCAUGAAUAGAACGUCGGAUGAAGAUUCGCAUGGCUGUAAAACCCAUAUAGUCGAUGGACAACGCAUAUCUAGGGAAGACGGACAAAAUCUCCUGCGAUUUUCUGAAAAAUUUCUUAGAUCUUUAGAUUUGUUUUCUUCAAUUGGGAAGACAGCAGAUGUAACUUCCGACGAAGGUACGCACAAUAUAUAAUAAUAUGUUUUUUUCUGCUCUUUGGUUGGGUUGUUGUCUUUUUGACACAUUCUCGGUCAUUCUCCACAUCAUGGAUUACAAAUAUGUCGAGCUUUGAGAUUGAAUAACAACACAGAGAUGUCAGUAUAUAUUCAAGAAACUGCCGGGGUAAAUACGACGUAAUUCAUCCCAAUAAGAACCUCACCAACGCCAUCAUAAUGAAAAAAAGUAAAAUCACAAAAAUACUGAACUGCGAGGAAAAUUCCCUAAUCAAAUUGCAAAAUUAAAAGUUGGUACAGGCAUUUUCUUAUGUAGAAAAUAAUGGAUUAAACCUAGUUUUAUAGCUAGCUAAACAUCUCAAGUAUGACAGUCGUAUUAAAUUUCAUUAUAUUGACAGCGAUGUGUGAACAAAACAAGCAGACAUAAUACUUUCAACAUAAAACAAACAAAUGUGUAACACAGAAGCACAAAAAUACACAUAGACAAAGCACGUAAGCAAAACCGAAAGAUAAGAAUAAGCAAAAUAAACAAAGGCACAAUAACAAAAUGAAGGGAUGUAUAAGAACAGAGCCAUGUCAAACACGUUAUAUGUGACAAAUAAACACUAAAAGUCUUAUUGACAAAGAAACUAUAUUUGCAAAAUUGAAAGACAAG
rnacentral:lncRNA from 1 species